rnacentral:rRNA from 1 species
UAUCUCUGUAGAGUCUGCAUAUCAAUAAGCGGAGGAAAAGAAACUAACAAGGAUUCCCUAGUAACGGCGAGUGAAGCGGGAAGAGCUCAAAUUUGAAAUCUUAAAGGUUUUCCCUUGACGAAUUGUAGUUUAAAGAAGUGUUUUCUGUUGAAGUUUCGGUAAAAGUUCUUUGGAAUAGGACAUCAUAGAGGGUGAGAAUCCCGUAUUUGACCGUUAUUUUCAGCUGUGUGAUACACUUUCAAAGAGUCGGAUUGUUUGGGAAUGCAGUCCAAAAUGGGUGGUAAAUUUCAUCUAAAGCUAAAUAUUGGCGAGAGACCGAUAGCGAACAAGUACCGUGAGGGAAAGAUGAAAAGAACUUUGAAAAGAGAGUUAAACAGUACGUGAAAUUGUCAAAAGGGAAGCGUUUGACACCAGUGUUGUUUUCUCGAAAAUCAAUUAAAAAUGGCUUGAUUUUGUGUUGUAUUGACCUUAAAAGCUUUCUGCACUUUUUUCAUGUCUUUUUUAAUGCACUUUUCGUUUAACAAGUCAACAUCAGUUUCUUUUGUUGUAAGAAGGUCAUUGGAAGGUGGCUUUCUUUUCGGAGAAAGUGUUUAUAGCCUUUGACUCCUGCAAUCGGAGAGACUGAGGUCUGCAGCGUAGAUCCUUCUUGGAUUAGAUUCAUUUGUGCUAAGUUAUAGCUUUUUAUAGACAACUUGUUGACUAUAUUUAGUCUUGUAACUUACUCGCUUAUGUAAUUUUACCUACGCUUAGGAUGUUGAACGCGCACAGAGUCUC